GCGGAAGUAAAAGUCGUAACAAGGUUUCCGUAGGUGAACCUGCGGAAGGAUCAUUAAAAAAAUUGGACUCCAUUGGUGAGCUCAUUAAUAAUCCCUACCCUUUGUGAAUUUGUUUGUUUGAAUAAUUUUUUUUCCAAAAAAAAUUAUUGAAUGUCUUUCCUUGUUUUGGUGGAGCUUGUAAAGUGAAACCAGGCAGGGGAAUGGCAAACAAUAAUUAUUUUUGAAAAAGACCUUUUUUUAAAAUUAAACUUUUUGUAUUCAUUUGUCUAAAAUUAAUUUUUAUAAUAUAAAAACAACUUUUGACAAUGGAUCUCUUGGUUCUCGCAACGAUGAGGAACGCAGCAAAAUGCGAUAAGUAGUGUGAAUUGCAGAAUACGUGAAUCAUCGAAUCUUCGAACGCAUAUUGCACUUUUUUAGUUUACUAAAAAAGUAUGUCUGUUUGAGUAUCAGUAAAAUAUUCUCAUAAAAACAUUGUUUUUUUUAUGGUUAUGAGUGUUUUACAACGAUAACAAGUUGUUUCACUUUAAAUUCUUUGUUAUCAAAAAAAUCAUUAAAAGCUAAUUUUAAAGAUUUUUUAAAAUUGGAUAAAAUUUUCCCGUAAAAAGGAAUAACCUAAACAAUUUUAAAAAAUUAAAAUUGGUUUGAUUUUUUUUGAAACCCAAAGGAAAAAAAACGAAAUUAACUUGAUCUCAAAUCAGAUAAGAGUACCCGCUGAACUUAAGCAUAUCAAUAAGCGGAGGAAAAGAAACUAACUAGGAUUCCCUCAGUAACGGCGAGUGAAGCGGGAAGAGCUCAAAUUUGAAAUCUUCAAGGUUUUACCUUGACGAAUUGUAGUUUAAAGAAGUGUUUUCUGUUGGAGUUUUGGUAAAGUUCUUUGGAAAAGGACAUCAUAGAGGGUGAGAAUCCCGUAUUUGACCAUUAUCUCCAGCUUUGUGAUACACUUUCAAAGAGUCGGAUUGUUUGGGAAUGCAGUCCAAAAUGGGUGGUAAAUUUCAUCUAAAGCUAAAUACUGGCGAGAGACCGAUAGCGAACAAGUACCGUGAGGGAAAGAUGAAAAGAACUUUGAAAAGAGAGUUAAACAGUACGUGAAAUUGUCAAAAGGGAAGCGUUUGACACCAGUGUUGUUUUCUCGAAAAUCAAUUAAAAAAGGCCGGAUUUUGUGUUGUAUUGACUUUAUCAGCUUUCUGCACUCUUUUCUUGUCUUUUUAAUGCACUUUUCGUUUAACAAGUCAACAUCAAUUUCUUUUGUUGUAAAAGGGUCAUUGGAAGGUGGCUUUCUUUUCGGAGAAGUGUUUAUAGCCUUUGGCCUCUGCAAUCGGAGAGAUUGAGGUCUGCAGCGUAGAUCCUUCGGGGUUAGAUACAUUUGUGCUAAGUUAUAGCCUUUCAUAGACAACUUGUUGACUAUGAUCAGUCAUGUAGCUUACUCGCUUAUGCUAUUUUACCUACGCUUAGGAUGUUGAGU
rnacentral:misc_RNA from 1 species